CCCCAGCUUACAUUCUGCUUUAUUUGGAUAUACUUUUAAUUUCUAUAUAGAUUUAGAAAGAAAGUAAAAAUAAUAAUUUAGAUGACACUAUAGAGGAUAAUUUAGGAAAAAUACUUAUUUAGUAAAGAUACAAUGUUAUAGAAACAAAAUGCUAAAAGAUUUUGCAUUAUUUUGCAUUAAUUAUUUACAGAGAUAAAUAAA
rnacentral:lncRNA from 1 species